rnacentral:rRNA from 1 species
CCCGACUGCUAUCAGAGUGAGAUUAAGCCAUGCGAGUCAACGUAGCAAUACGUGGCACACGGCUCAGUAACACGUAGUCAACAUAACCAAAGGACGUGGAUAAACUCGGGAAACUGAGGCUAAACCGCGAUAGAUCAAGAUACCUGGAAUGGUUUUUGAUCAAAAUCUAUAUGGCCUUUGGAUUGGACUGCGUCCGAUCAGGCUGUUGGUGAAGUAAUGGCCCACCAAACCUGUAACCGGUACGGGCUCUGAGAGGAGGAGCCCGGAGAUGGGUACUGAGAAAAGGACCCAGGCCCUAUGGGGCGCAGCAGGCGCGAAACCUCUGCAAUAGGCGAAAGCCUGACAGGGUUACUCUGAGUGACUUUCGCUAAGAAAGUCUUUUGACACCUCUAAAAAUGGUGUAGAAUAAGGGGUGGGCAAGUCUGGUGUCAGCCGCCGCGGUAAUACCAGCACCCCGAGUGGUCGGGACGAUUAUUGGGCCUAAAGCAUCCGUAGCCGGUUUUACAAGUCCUCCGUUAAAUCCAGCUGCUUAACAGAUGGGCUGCGGAGGAUACUAUAAGACUAGGAGGCAGGAGAGGCAAGCGGUACUCAGUGGGUAGGGGUAAAAUCCGUUGAUCCAUUGAAGGCCACCAGUGGCGAAGGCGGCUUGCCAGAAUGCGCUCGACGGUGAGGGAUGAAAGCUGGGGGAGCAAACCGGAUUAGAUACCCGGGUAGUCCCAGCUGUAAACGAUGCAGACUCGGUGAUGGACUAGCUUUAUGCUAGUCCAGUGCCGCAGGGAAGCCGUUAAGUCUGCCGCCUGGGUAGUACGGUCGCAAGACUGAAACUUAAAGGAAUUGGCGGGGGAGCACCACAAGGGGUGAAGCCUGCGGUUC